GGUUCUGUGGUGUAAUGGCCAGCACCCUGGACUCUGAAUCCAGUAAUCCGAGUUCAAGUCUCAGCAGGACCU
rfam:Alligator mississippiensis ScZkoYb_315, whole genome shotgun sequence.